AACGAACGCUGGCGGCAUGCCUAACACAUGCAAGUCGAACGAGACCUUCGGGUCUAGUGGCGCACGGGUGCGUAACGCGUGGGAACCUGCCCUUAGGUUCGGAAUAACUCCCCGAAAGGGGUGCUAAUACCGGAUAAUGUCUUCGGACCAAAGAUUUAUCGCCUUUGGAUGGGCCCGCGUUGGAUUAGCUAGUUGGUAGGGUAAAAGCCUACCAAGGCGACGAUCCAUAGCUGGUCUGAGAGGAUGAUCAGCCACACUGGGACUGAGACACGGCCCAGACUCCUACGGGAAGCAGCAGUGGGGAAUAUUGGACAAUGGGCGAAAGCCUGAUCCAGCAAUGCCGCGUGAGUGAUGAAGGCCUUAGGUUUGUAAAGCUCUUUUACCCGGGAUGAUAAUGACAGUACCGGGAGAAUAAGCUCCGGCUAACUCCGUG
rnacentral:rRNA from 1 species